GUGUUGCACUUUGUAGACGGUCCCUGCGCACUCGUCUCACAGCAGGCUGUACAUAGACACCAAUGUCCUGUGAGGAUGACUCAUACUGACGAUAACUGUCCUGUAGCCCGUUGUCCACCUUACUACGGUGGGAAUUAUGCAGCGUUUGUGCUUUAACAUCGUUUCGCUUUUGACUUAUUGAUCCGGGAAGUCCGAAUCUGUGAAUAUCUUUCCAACUUUACUGAACUCGCUGCGCCAUCAUGAAAAACUGCGAAUCGGUGAAUAUGUUUCCAACUUCCCGAAGUCUUACUGAUCCUGGAAGUAACACCUUCCCUUUGCUGUGAAGUGAAAACUAACUGCCUAUAGACGGAACCUGCAGAAGGUCUUAUCGUAUUAACGACGAUAUCGAUGAAGAAGGGUGGAGUCUGAAUAUACGUGAACACACCCCCACCUCUGAACAAGUCAGAAGUUUGGUGAAAACUCUUGGUAAAAUCACUCGUCCACUUCCUGCACUCAUCAUGUGAUCAGUUAUCAUGUCAGAAAAACAACAACAUCUGCUCACAUAUCAAACCAACUCUUAGCUGUGUGAGCGUGGUGUGUUACAGUAUCUUGUAACAGCCAACAACACAUGUAGGUUACACCCUUAUAUCAAAUCCACUGGAUCUCACUGAACCGUGGAAACGUCUGCGAACUUUGAAAGGGAACAGAAAUAAGCAUGAACUUAGAACUGUGAGCAGAGCAAUGGGCUGUAAAAGCUGAGCUGACUCCAGUGCUAGGUUUACUGAUUAAUGUUAUCUGCCUGUGAAGACACUGAGUCAUCCAGAUCAUGGUAUAUCCAAGUGCUAGAAAACAGGUCAACUGGACUUGGUUAAGUUUCCUCCAGGUUACCUGAGAGGCUGGACCCACCUUGCUGUUGGUUUCACUGGGAGUUGUUGACAGUCGUUGAGAGUUGUUGACACACCUGCCCCCUGUGGGUCAUGUGUCCUAAUGUGUGAAUUGCAGUGAAACUUCCUGGGGAUGGAAGUCAGGACUCUGUUGUAUGUGGCUGAAAGGUUGUGUCUUAACCCUCCUCCUCUCUUCAGAGAUGUUUUUCCUAGUUUGACGUAGAUGGCUUCCUUCACUCCUCUUUCAAAACAUCUGUCUUUCCUGGCCAAAAUGUGGACUUUGUUGUCUUCAAAUGAACGUCCAUUGUCCUUUAGAUGUAGGCAGACUGCUGAGUCCUGACCUGAGUCACCAGCUCUCCUGUGCUCUGCCAUGCGUUAAUGAAGAGGUUGUUUAGUUUCCCCAAUGUACAGGUCUGAUCUCAGUGAUGGUGACUUCAGCUCAAGGAAACUGCCAACCUGCCGUUCAACAUGAAUUUGAGAAGUAAACAUUUGGAGGCUGCAUCUUUGUUGAUAUGUUUGGUCAAAGUCUUCUGUGUGAAUACGCUGACUUGUCAUCCAACUGAGUAUCAGAUAGGGAAUGAAUGCUGUCCUCUUUGUCCAUCUGGUAA